rnacentral:lncRNA from 1 species
GGUUUGUGAAACGGUGCUCUACGCCUGGAGUUACAUAAGACGGCAGCUGAGAAAUGAGUGAAAUGUGGGAAGGACUACCUAUAGUUAUUCACCUAAGAUAGAAGGGAAAAGGCAUUAAAUUCCUUUCACGCGCUUCGUCUUUCCACCCCCAAGGAAAUUACUCAGACCUGAGAACAAGAGCAACUAUUUUGUUUUCCUUGGAUGAAACUUCAGGAAGCCAUGGAAGGGAUGCCAAAUGAGAGGGAGACACCUUUACAUCUUUACACAGCAGAGACACCAAAUUUUAGGAGAUCAUAGAAGGUGAUGAGAACAUUUUUGAGAAAGGGGGAGGAGAGAGAAGAUUGAACAAUGGAACCAGUGCUGGGUGAACAAGGUAACAAGAGAAAUGCACAAGGACUUCCUGGCAGAAUCCUAGAGUCCUUUAAAUGGUAAGGACGACUCAAGGGAUUUCAUAGAAGAUGGAAGAGUUGAGAAAACAUAGAUUGGUUAUGGAUUAUUUUCGUCCACAACAACAACAGAAAAACCAGAAAGGAGGAUCCCACCCAGCAUCAGAGAAUAGAAGGUCAAAGAUGAGUGAAGCUCUUCCUCAAGCUCCACAUACCCAGGAGAAGGUUAGCAUGCCUGAGGCAAAUUCAUCCGUUCCAUUCGAAGCCAGAGAACAAGCAGGGAAGGAAGAUGACCCAGGAUUGGACAUCUGCAGGCCUGGUGGACAGGCUGUGCCAGAGACCGAGGCAGGGUGGAAUCCCAAUGAUCCUGAGGAUCGAGGAAAGGGGGGAUAUUUUCAGGGUCCGCUUCUGAAAGCCAUGAAAAGAGUAAGCCAGCCACUCAUUAUGUGGCCUAAAUUAAGAGAGGUCCAAUAGGGCCCUGAGGAAAGCCGGCUCCCCCUCUACACACACACACUUUGUUCCAGAGGCCGCAGGACUGCCUCAGGCGAUACACAAAUUGGGACCUGGAGGCCUGGGGCAGUACAGUGAUCCUGAAUCCAUAUUUCAGAUCUCAGAAGUGCUCCAGAUACCCAUGGGAAACUCCAAAAGUUGGCCAUCGGUCCUGCUACCAGUCCUGCACAGCUACGAGUGGCUGCGUGGAGGGUACUCAAUAACCGGGUUGAAGCUGAGGAUGAAAAGGAAGACAAGAAGAUGAAAAGGCAGGCCGCCCUGCUCGCUGUGGCCCACCAGUCUCCUCAAGGUAACCUGAGGGAGAGGAGGCAUAUGCCAUGGGUGAGUAACCCCGGCCCCCACCGAGGGGCCAGGAGGCCACCAACAACAGCGGGGGCUAACCGGUGUGCGGACCGCCAACAGGAAGGGUGUUGGUGGCAGGAUUGUCCAAACUAUCCCCAGGAAGGGAAGGGAUCGAAGAAGACCGAGCUGUGGCAGUUUCCCUUGACUACAGGAGGCCCCAGUGACCUUGGCAGGAAGGAGGAGAGCAGGCUGAAUCUUUGUUCUCUAGUGGAGCCAUGUUCUUGGUGUUGAAUGCCCACAAGGGAAACCUUUCUUAACGAAAGUGUGAACUGAAGGAGGUCUCGGGAAAGGGAGAGACCAAAAGAUUUCUGGAGCCCUGGACCUGUGAAACAGGGUCCAAACUGCUGAAGGAUUCCACACUGUGUGUACCAGAAUGCCCCGUUCCCCACCCACUUCUAGCGAGGGACAUGCUAUGUAAGUUAGGGGCCUCCACAGGCCGGGAACAAGAGAAAAUCGAGAUCCAAGGGCCAAAAAGUGGGGGAGGUGAGCUGCUGGCCCUCUUACAGGAUACAGCAGCCCCUGAGAAGGAAGAGAUUCCCCUACAUGUUUCAAGCAGGGCUAACUCGGAACUAUGGGCCCAAGGACAGGUGGAGUGAGCAGCCGGUGCCACGCCAGGAAAGGU